GACGCAAUUUUUUUGAAGAAUUUGUGUUUCUUUCUGCAUGAAAUUAUGGAUUUGAAGACAAUCAAUCGGUAUGUUCUUUUAAUUUUUAUAUUCUGGUAAGAUUUCAUGAUUCCCGGUUUUCAUUUAUCCUUUGAUUUCAUAGUUUAUGGGUUCGAUUACAAUGAUUAGCUUUGAAAUUAAUUUCAAAUUUCCUAUAUUCUUGACAAAUCAAAAUAUUUUUGAAAUUGGACAUGGUACCAACGAACUGGUGUAAGGGAUAAGGCUCUGUUCUGGACAUAUAUAGGUUUAAAAAAAGAAGUCGAUCCAAAUGGACCUUUUGAUUGUUGGUUGUUUUAGGUUUGCUAGAUUCUUUUUCCUCCUUCUAUUUAACUUUUUUUUUAGUGGGGAAUUGAAAAGAGUUUUUCUUACUGGCAAUGAUUUCUCCUAUGGGUUGAAUAAUAUAUUAUUUUGAAGGGAGUUGAUGCUAUCUAGAAGACUUUCCGAAGAAAAAGAUGAUAAAUAUUAUGAAAUCUUAAUGGUACAAAUUGACCAAUUUCUUAUUUGAAUUGUACACGUUUUUAAUGGAAAACGAGGAAUUAGUCCGAAAUUGUUUCAUUUUGGGUUUUUAAAUAAAGAAUAUAUCAACAAUUACUUACCGNN
rnacentral:lncRNA from 1 species